CCUUUCCUCUGAGAGCCUGUCGCUGUCUCCUGACCCGAUGCCAGUCCGAGGCGGGAUCCAAGAAAACACUUGAGAUUUGCGUGUGCGGGGUCUGUCUUCCUACCAGAAUCUUUUUAAAGGUCCUGAGGACUUAAUUGCUGCUUUGACUACCAAAUAUCUCACAUCUGAGAGCCCAGAGCUUGAAUGGACAGAGCAAGAAACACUGCCAGGCACUUUAUUUGACUGUAACUUGAACUUGCUUCACCAGCAGAGGCCUCCCACAGUUGAAUGGGGGGAUCAGUGCCCCUUUUGCAUCUGCACCUGGCUGGCGGCAUGGAAGAGUGGGAAAUGGACUGUGCCCUCCUUCCCGUUGAGCAGUGUUGGGGCUACACGUGAUGGAGAUGCUGACACAGUCCCAGCUCACAGCCAGAGGAGGAGGAAAGGCCGAACUGCACCCCCUUGUGACUGACUCUCAGCCAGCCCAGCGAGGAAAGAGAACCAGCUGAGCAGACUCCUCACCCGCAGCAGGAAGGAGGCUCUGCUGCCACUGUGCGCUGCACUGGCUGGUGCAGAAGAGAGGAUGGGUGCUGGCCAGGUUUGGUCUUCAAGGAUCUACAGGAGGCAGCGUGUGAGCCUCCAUGCCUGUCCUGCUUUGGGGAACAUGAAACUGCUUUUCCAUUAAAGUGUAACACGUGCCUUUUCCUGCCACCCCCUUCUGCAGCUCACUGUGUCUGCCUGAUCAGCAGGU